rnacentral:rRNA from 1 species
AGAGUUUGAUCCUGGCUCAGGAUGAACGCUGGCGGCGUGCCUAAUACAUGCAAGUCGAGCGAACGGACGAGAAGCUUGCUUCUCUGAUGUUAGCGGCGGACGGGUGAGUAACACGUGGAUAACCUACCUAUAAGACUGGGAUAACUUCGGGAAACCGGAGCUAAUACCGGAUAAUAUUUUGAACCGCAUGGUUCAAAAGUGAAAGACGGUCUUGCUGUCACUUAUAGAUGGAUCCGCGCUGCAUUAGCUAGUUGGUAAGGUAACGGCUUACCAAGGCAACGAUGCAUAGCCGACCUGAGAGGGUGAUCGGCCACACUGGAACUGAGACACGGUCCAGACUCCUACGGGAGGCAGCAGUAGGGAAUCUUCCGCAAUGGGCGAAAGCCUGACGGAGCAACGCCGCGUGAGUGAUGAAGGUCUUCGGAUCGUAAAACUCUGUUAUUAGGGAAGAACAUAUGUGUAAGUAACUGUGCACAUCUUGACGGUACCUAAUCAGAAAGCCACGGCUAACUACGUGCCAGCAGCCGCGGUAAUACGUAGGUGGCAAGCGUUAUCCGGAAUUAUUGGGCGUAAAGCGCGCGUAGGCGGUUUUUUAAGUCUGAUGUGAAAGCCCACGGCUCAACCGUUGAGGGUCAUUGGAAACUGGAAAACUUGAGUGCAGAAGAGGAAAGUGGAAUUCCAUGUGUAGCGGUGAAAUGCGCAGAGAUAUGGAGGAACACCAGUGGCGAAGGCGACUUUCUGGUCUGUAACUGACGCUGAUGUGCGAAAGCGUGGGGAUCAAACAGGAUUAGAUACCCUGGUAGUCCACGCCGUAAACGAUGAGUGCUAAGUGUUAGGGGGUUUCCGCCCCUUAGUGCUGCAGCUAACGCAUUAAGCACUCCGCCUGGGGAGUACGACCGCAAGGUUGAAACUCAAAGGAAUUGACGGGGACCCGCACAAGCGGUGGAGCAUGUGGUUUAAUUCGAAGCAACGCGAAGAACCUUACCAAAUCUUGACAUCCUUUGACAACUCUAGAGAUAGAGCCUUCCCCUUCGGGGGACAAAGUGACAGGUGGUGCAUGGUUGUCGUCAGCUCGUGUCGUGAGAUGUUGGGUUAAGUCCCGCAACGAGCGCAACCCUUAAGCUUAGUUGCCAUCAUUAAGUUGGGCACUCUAAGUUGACUGCCGGUGACAAACCGGAGGAAGGUGGGGAUGACGUCAAAUCAUCAUGCCCCUUAUGAUUUGGGCUACACACGUGCUACAAUGGACAAUACAAAGGGCAGCGAAACCGCGAGGUCAAGCAAAUCCCAUAAAGUUGUUCUCAGUUCGGAUUGUAGUCUGCAACUCGACUACAUGAAGCUGGAAUCGCUAGUAAUCGUAGAUCAGCAUGCUACGGUGAAUACGUUCCCGGGUCUUGUACACACCGCCCGUCACACCACGAGAGUUUGUAACACCCGAAGCCGGUGGAGUAACCUUUUAGGAGCUAGCCGUCGAAGGUGGGACAAAUGAUUGGGGUGAAGUCGUAACAAGGUAGCCGUAUCGGAAGGUGCGGCUGGAUCACCU